CCCAAAUAAACUGGUUUGAGCAUUAAUUUAAUAUUAACACGGUUCAGGUAAACGCGACAUUACAAAUAUUUAUUUACUAUUUUAAACGACGUGUCAUCAGUGUAACAUGGAGAAGAAAUGUGAACAUGUCCAUAUAAAACCAAAGCAGGAGCCUCCAGUUCUUCAUGGUGGAGAACAUGCUGAUGGAUCACCACAACCAGAGCAGCCCUCAGGACGACACCACGACAAGAACCUGGACGGGAGGAUCUGAGGGGAAAGAUUGAGGUGGAGAAAUCCCUCCUGAGAAAAUCUAAAUGUCAACCAGAAAUCCUGAUGAACAACAAACAACAUUAAAGAAACUGUACAGUGAAGAAGAACAUUAGAAACCAGGUCCCUGCUCCUCUCCAGUGUAAAAGCUCCUCCUCAUGUUAGUACAUGUUUUCAUAUUAUAUCACUGUAUGUCCUCUAAGUAGCUUAGUUUUCAUUCAUCUUUCUGUAUAUUUUAGCUUUGUAGGAAUUAAGGAUCUGCAGCGAAAACGAAUGAACUCAUUUCAUUUUGAAUAGUUUUUUAAUCAUAUUUUCAUGAAUCUGAAAUGUUUUCCUUGUUGAGUGCUUCAAACAUUUGAUGCUGUAACUAAUCAGACGUUGUGUGUAAACUCUUGUUGUUUUACUCCAAAGAAUCUGUCACACUUGAAAAGUUGUGCAGUUAUUUACAUAUUUAAUAAAAGUCAGAAAAAGCUGCUG